rnacentral:rRNA from 1 species
GAUCAUGGCUCAGGAUGAACGCUGGCGGCGUGCUUAACACAUGCAAGUCGAACGAAGCGCUUAAGAUUGAUUCUUCGGAUGAAGUUUUUUGUGACUGAGUGGCGGACGGGUGAGUAACGCGUGGGUAACCUGCCUCAUACAGGGGGAUAACAGUUAGAAAUGACUGCUAAUACCGCAUAAGCGCACAGGGUCGCAUGACCUGGUGCGAAAAACUCCGGUGGUAUGAGACGGACCCGCGU